UACGUAGGGUGCAAGCGUUGUCCGGAAUUAUUGGGCGUAAAGAGCUCGUAGGCGGUUUGUCGCGUCUGCUGUGAAAACCCGAGGCUCAACCUCGGGCCUGCAGUGGGUACGGGCAGACUAGAGUGCGGUAGGGGAGACUGGAAUUCCUGGUGUAGCGGUGGAAUGCGCAGAUAUCAGGAGGAACACCGAUGGCGAAGGCAGGUCACUGGGCCGCAACUGACGCUGGAGGAGCGGAAAAGCAUGGGGAGCGAACAGG
rnacentral:rRNA from 1 species